UGAAGCUGGAGGCCCGUGGCGUGCACAGGCAGCCACUCCCACACUAUGACCGGGGCCCGAGAAUGCCAAGGACAUUAGGCAGAGUCUGAAACUUUACAUCAUAGUGAACAAAGAAAACCUAAUAUGAUGCCAGGGAAGACUUC
rnacentral:lncRNA from 1 species